AACGAACGCUGGCGGCGCGCCUAAUACAUGCAAGUCGAGCGAGAAGACGUAGCAAUACGUUUGUAAAGCGGCGAACGGGUGAGGAAUACAUGGGUAACCUACCCUCGAGUGGGGAAGUAACUAGCCGAAGGUUAGCUAAUACCGCGUACGCUCCUUGGACUUCGGUUCAGGGAGGAAAGACGAUACCGUGGGUACCGCGCUCUUGGAUGGGCUCAUGUCCUAUCAGCUUGUUGGUGAGGUAACGGCUCACCAAGGCUUCGACGGGUAGCUGGUCUGAGAGGACGAUCAGCCACACUGGCACUGAGACACGGCCCAGACUCCUACGGGAGGCAGCAGUGGGGAAUCUUGCGCAAUGGGCGAAAGCCUGACGCAGCGACGCCGCGUGAGGGAUGACGGCCU
rnacentral:rRNA from 1 species